UUAACUAUAUCAUUAUAUUAAAACUAAUAGUUUUUAUUAAAUAGCAAACUCAAAAUUAUGGCCACUUCUUAUAGUUAGAAUUAUUUGGUGCACUGAUGAAAGAAAAAGAAAAUGUUUAAUGAAGUAUAACUUUUUCUAAUUUCCUUAUAUAUCUUGCAACCUUCUUAUACAACUUAUAGAAGUAAAAAAAAAAAGAACAAUGCAUAACUUUCUAAUUUUUAACAACUCAUACAAAGUAAAAAGCAUACAUAUUUCUCAGAUAUUCGACUCUAAAGAAAGGUUAGUAGAAUUCAAUUUAUCGUAGUUCACUGCACCUGUUCGAUGCAUUUAUGCAAAUGCUACGCCGAUUACGCGCCACCACGUUCAAAGUACCACAAUGUAUUGUUGCAAUAUAACAUUAAUGUCCGCUAUAAAUGGGAGCAAAACGUCCAAUAAUUACAUACUUAUGUUUUAUCUAAUUACGAUACAAUAACGCAAAUUAAAUAAGUAUAUCGUUACUACAAUUACAAUGACUAAAUAAUAAAGCUAAAUCGAGUAUUUUAAACGGAAUAAUUUGCGGAAGUAUAAUAUCUUUCGAAUCAUUAAAUUCCUAUACGAUCAUUUACAUAGAAUAUCUUAAUGUUUUUAUGUGCUCUUUUAUAAGAUUUAUUUUAUAAAGCUAAAAUUAUCAAAAAGUGUACAAAUGGGAAGUUCUAUAAAAAGAAAUAUUAAACGAAGCAUCUUGAAGUAAUACUGUUCUACUAAGUGUAAUAUCGAUCAGAAAUUCGAACGAAAGGAUUGAAAGAAAUAGGUUACUCGGUUGAAGUUUUGAAGUACAAUCGUUCAUUGCAAACUACGUAUUAGAACAAAAGAAAUCUCUUAUCAAUGACUGUUAUGAUACUGAAAAUAUCAGGAAGUCGGUAGCGAAGCGUAACGUCAUUGCCAUCUUGAACAUGGGCCAACGGGUGCAUUAUGUUCUGCUCAGCUCACUGAAAUAUUACUAUCUAUUAUUCGUGUAACAUGCAAAAAUAACACGGUAACUAAGAACGCAAUAGCAGUGGAUUGAAACGAAUGACUAAGUGAGGAUCGAUUUAUUUGCACUGGAAAUGUGACUAUUAAAUAACAGACAUGUAUUUCCAGCGAACGCACGGUACAAAAACAAUUAGUAAAAUGGAUAAGCCGGGAACAACUUUGUCCAUUAUCGUAGAUAUACAUACAUAUUACUUGUCAUGUUUGUAGCGUGGUAUCGCAUUUCAUUUUCACGAUACUAUUUAAUUUACGAGAUGUUCUUUCUGACGUUCAGUUUUUGGAACAGUGAUUUUCCUUUAUUUUACGGAACGGCUCGUGUAUGCAUUCUGUGUUGUAACAUUGGGCAGCCAAGUGUGGUGGACAACUAGUUCUGCUACCAAUCUACUAAUGGUGCAAUGAUACGUGCUAGUGUCCUUCCAAAGAAAAACAAAAAACGGAUGAAAAUACUGAAACCAGUAAUGUAGCAAUGUUAGGCUAUAUCAUAGGAAUGUGGUUGCCGUUAGGCGACCGCCUAUGCUUGAAUUUACGCUACGAUGAAUAUUCGUAAGCACAACAACGCUCGACCACGUACCGCGCGUACAACACUUCAUACCCAUGUGAGGUUGAAGACCGUUCCUAGUUCAGAUCUGCCUCCUUUGGACUUCCAUUUCAUUCCAGAAUUGAAGAAGACACUUAGGGGUAUUCGUCUCAAAUCAGACGAUAACGUCAAGGCAGCAGUGACUUCCUUCAUCAAAAGAGGGCCGGCAGAAUUUUUCGAAUUCUUCGUUGACGGAAUGACAAAAUUUAUCACACGUUGGUAAAAAUGUAUGGAAGUUAACGACGAUUAUGUUGAAAAAUAAUUGUAUUUUAUAGAUAAUGAAUCGUAUUUUCACUUCUUCUUUGUUUCAUUUUGAUAGCUGCUUUCGUUCUCAAGAUACGAAAGUUCAUUACUUUUUAACUAGCCCUCAUAUGACAGAACAAAUGGAGUUUUUCAAAUAAAUUUUGCGAAAUGUGAAAAUAGAUUAUCCUAUUACUUUAUUUCACACAAAAUUGUGAAAUUAUAAAAUAGAUCUAUAAUACAAUUUGUAACUUGUCAAUUCAUUAAUACUAUUGGUUGGCAAAUUAUUGUGGAGGGGCGAUAUUGCCAUAUGAUAGAACUUCAUUCUAUAUUUUUAAACCUAGUUUUAUGUAAGGAAUCAUUUUCGUACAAAGUGUACAGUGGUUUCGAAAAAAAAUCUCCUAUAUAUUAGAAGCCAUUUCAAUAACAGCAUCAUAAUGAAGGUUCAUUGAUAACAUAACCGAAACAAAGUUGAAACUAAUAAUCAAACAAAAGUGCAAAUAAAAAGUAAAAAAAGAUAAUAACUUUUAAAUUGUAUGUUCUUAAAAAAACUGACAAUAAGUAUAAAAAAAAUAUGGGAGCAUUAUUUAUUUGAAGAGAAUUCAACUCAGACACGUAAAACAUGUUUAAAGUAGAAAUAUAUAACAUAUUAUAUGUAAACUUCAUGCAUGUUACAAAUUAAGCUUCAGAUUUGUUGGGAACUGAAUAUAAAGUUUUAUCAUGCAUACAAAACAUGAUUCUCGUUCAACAAAAGGCAAUAACUUGUUAAAUUUUAGUCAAGAAUCAGAAUAUCUACGUAAUAUGAUCCUGCUAAAUCACAUUCUCGCUAUUCCAUUAUAAUACACGUCCAUACACGUGAAACUUCGAUAUCCGGAUAAUGCUUUGAUGUUGAUUACGUGUUCGUACUAUUUGGAAGUUAAUAUAAUAUAUUUCGUCAAUACGUAGAAACUACAAAAUUGAAAUGUCCACAAUUGUAUAGAUUCAACUGUAACAAAUGAGAAAAAUGAUACACACAAAUA